AUGGGCAAAUUAAUGGAAUCCCAGGAAUAUCAGUUUCAGGCAUGUGAGUCCAGGUCGGGAAGGAUGAGUGUUCUCCUGAUCUGCGGCAACUCUACAAGUAGGCAGAACCUUGCCCUGCACCCUGGUUGCACUGUGCUAUUCAGCUUCUUGAGGGGCACAUCCUUCAUAAAUAUCGGCUGCAGACGAAAGGAACUUGUUAAGAGCUUUGACAUUUCUGGCCCAGAAAUCUAUCCUGCUGGGUAAGCCUUAAAUAUUUAAUAGAUCAAUUCAUUUGUCAAGUAGUUUUGAAUUGGACAAUAUUUACUUGAAAAGGAUUUAAUAGGGUGAACUUGGAAUGUUUAAACAAAAUGUGUAUGUGUGUGUGAGUAUAUAUGUGUGUAUAUGAUUGGUACUUUAAUUGUAAUAUUAGAAUUUUAUACUUUGAGAAAAUAAGACUGAUUCUGGGCCUAAGAUAUUAAAAAAAAACUUUGGAUAUAAUCCAAGAUUUCAGUGUGAAAGUAUUAUAAAAUGGAAAACAGCUCAUGCUCACACUCCAGAAGAAAACAUUUGUAGGCCUCAAAUUUUCUUUCAGCCUUCAAGUUGAGAGUCUGAUGAUAUGUCUCAAAUAAGUCUGACUUCCUCAGCAAACUAUUGAAACAUCUGUGGACAAUAUGGUUUGCUUUAUCAUAUAAGGUUACUUUAGAAUAUGGCAUUUAGUGAUAUAAUGCUGCGAUAAUAGAAUAUUCACCAGGAAUCAGUAUAUCUUGGGAGGCAAUUUAGACAAAAACAGUUAAAUAUUUAAGAAAAAAAAAAAAAGAAAUAGCAUAGUACUGGGCUUUUAAUAACUCAAAAGUUAUAAUGCUAUCAGAAGACCAAACUUACAAUAAAACCGGACUAGAUAAAAUAGGGGAGGCCAUAGUACUAAAAUAAGCUCAAUACAACGGUCAUUUUUAGACCUUUGAACACUCUUUGAAGUCAAUAGGAGGCUACUAACAAAUAAUCAACAUAGACCACAUAGACCAAAACGCAAAAGCAAUACUGGAUACCAUGAGCAUAUCAAAAGGCAGUAGAAACCAGGUAAUGACAAAAAAUAAAUAAAAUGUAAAUUACUCAAACCAAAUCACAGGCCAAUUGCCAACUUCUUCAGUAAUGCUUUUCCCAGGAAAAUCCUCAGCCCCACCCCAGCCGAAUCAAUUGCUUCCACUUUGAUAUUCCCUAAGAACUUUUAAAUUAUGGUAUAAAUUACACAUCAUUUCACAUGGUUAGUUGUUUUGGAGUCUGUCACCCAGAGCUGAUCAUGAACAACUUGAAUGUAGAGGCCAAAGGUUCUCUCUCCAGCAGCCUCUAGCAAAUAGCAGUUUUUGGACUCUCAAAGCCAUUACUUCCCAAACCAUUGAUGCUAGAUCACAUUACCCAUAUUAAAAUGAGCUGAGGUACCUAUUAAAAUGGAGAUUCCUGAAUUUAGCCUAAGACCUAUUGGAUUAGGGUUGAAGUCUAGGAUUUUACAUUUUAAUAACCAUACAAAGUGAUUCUUACACUAAAGUUUAGAACCACCGUUCUAAUCUAUACAAUUAAUCAACAUUAUAAUUUUUAAAACAUCUUUUUAAAAAAAGGUUAAAAAGUACCUCUUAAUUUGGAGCACUUCUAGCCUUGAUUUUACAAAAUGUGUGUGUUAAUUUAGACUUCCAGGACCUCCCUUUUCUGUAUCCCAAUUCCUGGGAUGGCUUCAGAACUGGAUCAGGUGCUGAGGGUAAGGAGAGAGAUUUUGUCCAUGGAGACAGGUGAAUCCUUUAUCAUUAUAAGAGUAUAGUUGUGGCUUGCAGCCUCUUUACUUUGUAGGCUAGGUGAGGGCUUUGGUUGGUUAGAAUCAACCCAAUUAGGUUGAAACCUUGCAUAUUACUCUUCUGGUUCUUCACUAUCAACCCACUCUGGCCCCAUGUCAGAUAGGGAUUCAUCAGAUUACGUAGCACAGCAGAAAGGAAUAACUGUGCCUAAAGCCUCUGUUCAAAUAUGCCUUGCUGAUAUGGCCCAGAGUAAAUAGCAAAAAGCAUGAAGCCAAUGAAUUGUUUCUUGUUAAUGUUAUCAGUCAGAUACAGUGUGAGCAUAUAUUCAUUUUUUACAAUGAUACUAUACUCUCUCGUUCUUUUCUCACUUGAGUAUCAUAAAGUAUAUAAUCAUUUAAAUAAUUCUGUGUAAGAAAUCUAGCUUAUACUCUAAGAGUUUAAUGUUUUGUUUUGUUUUUUAUUUCACAGUUUCCUGGAGAGUUCAUUGUAGUAUAAUAUAUUAUCCUAUCAUGCCAAGUCAAGUGGACAUGUAUUUGCUAUUGUCAGGUUUUACUUUUCCUCUCUGUUGUAGAAUUUGAGAGAGGUUCAAUUAUUUGCGUAUAGAGAGGCCAGGACUCAGGAAUGAUUUUGAGAAGAAAAAAUGGUUUAUUGAUGGCUGGCUGGACUCGGGAGCUUCCUAUUGCAAACCCAAGCCCCAAACAAGAUUUUUGAGUUUCUUUUAUACAGAGAGGAAAGGUUAAAUGGUCCUUUUGUUUCAGUUCUCAAUAGGUUUGAAUUAGCAUAUAUAUCUUCCACAUCUUAGGUAAGCUUUUAGCAUGGACUUCAGACAUUCUAGAUAAGACUUUAGCACAGUUGGCUUGCAUUUCCCCUGAAUAUUUAAAGUUUAUAGACCUUGCAUUGUUAAACUGUUUCCUGGGACUGGAGUCAUUGCCCUGGUCACCAAGGGCAGGACUGCAGCCUCUUACCAUCUCACACCCACAAGUCACAGACAGCUUAGGCUAUCUCUGAAGAGACAAAGAGCCUCCCACCCAUAGCCCACAUCAUUUCCCCCCUUUGCCAAAGUUUAACUUGCUAAGCUUUGGCAUAAUUAUUGUUGGAGCUAUGAGGUGAAUGGCUGUUUGUUGUUUUGAUUGAUUAUUUAUCAGUCUUUACUGUAGCAUCCAGGACUUUGUUUUUAGAAGUUUAGAACUUUUUAUUCUGGACAGCAGAAUCCUGGGGUGGGGGUCCCCUUGCAGUCAUCCUGGGGCCACCUGCAUUCACGUGGAUUUCCAGUCAGGUUCCAGAUCCAUCUAUUAAUUUUGUUUUACCCUUAAAGAGUUUACACCUUUAAUCUAAAAGAGGUGCUGAAGGGAGAUGAUCUCUUUUCUGUAACUGCUUUCUGCUGACCAUGGGCUGUAGUCAUUGCCUAACAAGGUGUAAAACUCUUAUUUUAUUUUAACUGGAGGAAGAUGGAUCUGGCAUUCUGUACGAAGUUGGAUGAAGUUUUUAUAUAGUUAAUAAGAUGUUCACUUUGAAAGAAACAAACUUAAUUAAAAAUUUGGGAUACCCGUUUUUAAAAGAGGACAUUGGAUUACAGAGGUAGACAAGGUUAGGUGCUUAUAAAGAUGGCACUCCUUUUUAAAAGCUGGU
rnacentral:lncRNA from 1 species